CUGUGGUUUUGCAUGUUAUUUGUCAGUUUUAGCUGUUUUUCCAAAUAUUAGUUGUAAAUUAAGUGUCAAUAUAUUUUCUAAGUAGCUACAGGCGCACUAAUAAAAUACUAAUUGCAUUGCCGGCUGUGCAGAGUUGUGUCGAGCAGUUAUCGAGGUCAUCAAAUGAUAUUCACCACGGAUCUGCUGCAAUGUGGAUACAACUGUUCGAUAUUAAAUAUGAUUUUUGGCGUUCACCGUUUACAUGAAAAGAAGAAGUCCGUUUGUGAGACUCGAAUUUUUAAAAGUCAACCCUGCCGAAAUCGAACGCAAAUUGGUAUUUCCCGUUGAUAAGUAACCUGUUCGGAUGUCUUCCUGGAACUAAAAGAAGUCAAAGGAUCGUCUCAGCCUUGAAAUUAUGUUGAAACCUAUGCAAACUCCUGCUCACAGACCGAAAGAACAAUACCUGACGCAGUUCAUCAAAUCAGUUUUUAUGUCUUGUUAUGUUUAUUUAUCUUUGACAUUUUAUUAAAAGUUUUCAUCAUAUGUAAUUCAUUAAUGCCAAUAAAUGUUUUCUCACGAA